GUUAAUCGGAAUUACUGGGCGUAAAGCGUGCGCGGGCGGUAAUGCAAGACAGAUGUGAAAUCCCCGGGCUCAACCUGGGAACUGCAUUUGUGACUGCAUUGCUGGAGUGCGGCAGAGGGGGAUGGAAUUCCGCGUGUAGCAGUGAAAUGCGUAGAUAUGCGGAGGAACACCGAUGGCGAAGGCAAUCCCCUGGGCCUGCACUGACGCUCAUGCACGAAAGCGUGGGGAGCAAACGGG
rnacentral:rRNA from 1 species